UACGUAGGUGACAAGCGUUGUCCGGAUUUACUGGGCGUAAAGGGCGUGCAGGCGGUUUGUUAAGUGCAGAGUGAAAGCUCCCGGCUCAACUGGGAGAGGUCUUUGCAUACUGGCAAACUCGAGGGAGGCAGAGGAAAGUGGAAUUCCCGGUGUAGUGGUGAUAUGCGUAGAUAUCAGGAAGAACACCCGUGGCGAAGGCGGCUCUCUGGGACGGUACUGACGCUGAGGAGCGAAAGCGUGGGGAGCGAACAGG
rnacentral:rRNA from 1 species